rnacentral:rRNA from 1 species
GACAGAGGUGCCAAGCGUUAGGCGGAAUCACUGGGCUUAAAGCGUGUGUAGGCGGACUGGUAAGUACCUUGUGAAAUCCCACGGCUCAACCGUGGAAACUUGCUCGGUAUACUGCUCGUCUUGAGCCACUUAGGGGCUGUCGGAACAAACGGUGGAGCGGUGAAAUGCGUAGAUAUCGUUUGGAACGCCAAUGGUGAAAACAGACAGCUGGGGAGUGUGCU